GACGAACGCUGGCGGCGUGCUUAACACAUGCAAGUCGAACGGAAAGGCCCUGCUUUUGUGGGGUGCUCGAGUGGCGAACGGGUGAGUAACACGUGAGUAACCUGCCCUUGACUUUGGGAUAACUUCAGGAAACUGGGGCUAAUACCUGAUAGGAGCUCCUGCUGCAUGGUGGGGGUUGGAAAGUUUCGGCGGUUGUGGAUGGACUCGCGGCUUAUCAGCUUGUUGGUGGGGUAGUGGCUUACCAAGGCUUUGACGGGUAGCCGGCCUGAGAGGGUGACCGGCCACAUUGGGACUGAGAUACGGCCCAGACUCCUACGGGAGGCAGCAGUGGGGAAUAUUGCACAAUGGGCGGAAGCCUGAUGCAGCAAUGCCGCGUGCGGGAUGACGGCCUUCGGGUUGUAAACCGCUUUCGCCUGUGACGAAGCGUGAGUGACGGUAAUGGGUAAAGAAGCACCGGCUAACUACGUG
rnacentral:rRNA from 1 species